AUUGAACGCUGGCGGAAUGCUUUACACAUGCAAGUCGAACGGCAGCACGGACUUCGGUCUGGUGGCGAGUGGCGAACGGGUGAGUAACACAUCGGAACGUGCCCAGUCGUGGGGGAUAACGUAGCGAAAGCUACGCUAAUACCGCAUACGAUCUACGGAUGAAAGCGGGGGAUCGCAAGACCUCGCGCGAUUGGAGCGGCCGAUGGCAGAUUAGGUAGUUGGUAGGGGAAAGGCCUACCAAGCCGACGAUCUGUAGCUGGUCUGAGAGGAUGUGCAGACACACUGGGACUGGGACACGGCCCAGACUCCUACGGGAGGCAGCAGUGGGGAAUUUUGGACAAUGGACGCAAGUCUGAUCCAGCCAUUCCGCGUGCAGGAUGAAGGCCCUCGGGUUGUAAACUGCUUUUGUACAGAACGAAAAGGCUCUGGUUAAUACCUGGGGCUCAUGACGGUACUGUAAGAAUAAGCACCGGCUAACUACGUGCCAGCCGCCGCAGUAA
rnacentral:rRNA from 1 species